rnacentral:lncRNA from 1 species
UUCGAACUCGAAAUAAUGUAGCCCGUAGGCAUAAUGGUCGAGUGAGUGCUUGCUCGAACUCGAAAUAAAAGUAGCCCGUAGGCUUUGUAGUCGAGUGAAUGAUUCAAACUUGAAAUAAUGUAGCCCGUAGGCGUAAUGGUCGAGUGAGUGCUUGCUCGAACUCGAAAUAAAAGUAGCCCGUAGGCUUUAGUAGUCGAGUGAAUGAUUCGAACUCGAAAUAAUGUAGCCCGUAGGCGUAAUGGUCGAGUGAGUGCUUGCUCGAACUCGAAAUAAAAGUAGCUCGUGGGCUUUGUAGUCGAGCGAAUGAUU